GUAGGUGAACCUGCGGAAGGAUCAUUUCCAAUAAUUGAAAAAACACAACAUUUAAACACCUUUAUUGGUGUGUGAAUUGUUUUGGGUACUCUAUUUCUCUCAAAAGAGGAUUGAUUUGAUGAAGUGAAGUGGUACUGUUGGUGUGGUGGAGCAUUGUGGCGUUGGAAUGCGUUGGAAGACUUGUUUCUCAAUGAUGUGGACACUCUCUUGUUGCAGCGUAGUAACAUCUCGUAUGUUAUUGCCUUGUGAG
rnacentral:misc_RNA from 1 species